rnacentral:rRNA from 1 species
AUGGGGGCGGUUUUGCGAGACGACAAAGGUAGGUUUACUGCAGGAGAAAAUGAAAAGAUUGACCAUUGUGCGGAUGUGCUGAUGGCAGAAGCUUUAGCCCUCAAAUUUGGACUAACACUAGCGCAAAGGGCAGGGUGCAAUCGCCUAAUCAUCAACUCAGAUAAUCUGGAGGUGAUUGAGACCAUGUAG